AGAGUUUGAUCAUGGCUCAGGACGAACGCUGGCGGCGUGCUUAACACAUGCAAGUCGAGCGGUAAGGCCCUUCGGGGUACACGAGCGGCGAACGGGUGAGUAACACGUGAGUAACCUGCCCCUGGCUCUGGGAUAAGCCCGGGAAACCGGGUCUAAUACCGGAUAUGACCCCUGCUCGCAUGGGUGGGGGUGGAAAGGUUGGUUUUCCUUCCGGUCGGGGAUGGGCUCGCGGUCUAUCAGCUUGUUGGUGGGGUGACGGCCUACCAAGGCGAUGACGGGUAGCCGGCCUGAGAGGGCGACCGGCCACACUGGGACUGAGACACGGCCCAGACUCCUGCGGGAGGCAGCAGUGGGGAAUAUUGCGCAAUGGGCGGAAGCCUGACGCAGCGACGCCGCGUGGGGGAUGAAGGCCUUCGGGUUGUAAACCUCUUUUACCACUCACGCAGGCCUUGGGUUUUCCUGGGGUUGACGGUAGGUGGUGAAUAAGGACCGGCUAACUACGUGCCAGCAGCCGCGGUAAUACGUAGGGUCCGAGCGUUGUCCGGAAUUAUUGGGCGUAAAGAGCUCGUAGGCGGCCUGUCGCGUCUGCUGUGAAAGUCCGGGGCUUAACUCCGGGUGUGCAGUGGAUACGGGCAGGCUUGAGGUAGGUAGGGGAGACUGGAAUUCCUGGUGUAGCGGUGAAAUGCGCAGAUAUCAGGAGGAACACCGGUGGCGAAGGCGGGUCUCUGGGCCUUACCUGACGCUGAGGAGCGAAAGCGUGGGGAGCGAACAGGAUUAGAUACCCUGGGUAGUCCACGCCGUAAACGUUGGGCGCUAGGUGUGGGGACUUUCCACGGUUUCCGUGCCGUAGCUAACGCAUUAAGCGCCCCGCCUGGGGAGUACGGCCGCAAGGCUAAAACUCAAAGGAAUUGACGG
rnacentral:rRNA from 1 species